rnacentral:rRNA from 1 species
UACGGAGGGGGCUAGCGUUGUUCGGAAUUACUGGGCGUAAAGCGCACGUAGGCGGCGAUUUAAGUCAGAGGUGAAAGCCCGGGGCUCAACCCCGGAAUAGCCUUUGAGACUGGAUUGCUUGAAUCUUGGAGAGGUGAGUGGAAUUCCGAGUGUAGAGGUGAAGUUCGUAGAUAUUCGGAAGAACACCAGUGGCGAAGGCGGCUCACUGGACAAGUAUUGAUGCUGAGGUGCGAAAGCGCGGGGAGCAAACAGG